rnacentral:rRNA from 1 species
GACGAACGCUGGCGGCGUGCUUAACACAUGCAAGUCGAACGGAAAGGCCCUGCUUUUGUGGGGUGCUCGAGUGGCGAACGGGUGAGUAACACGUGAGUAACCUGCCCUUGACUUUGGGAUAACUUCCGGAAACUGGGGCUAAUACCGGAUAGGAGCUCCUGCUGCAUGGUGGGGGUUGGAAAGUUUCGGCGGUUGGGGAUGGACUCGCGGCUUAUCAGCUUGUUGGUGGGGUAGUGGCUUACCAAGGCUUUGACGGGUAGCCGGCCUGAGAGGGUGACCGGCCACAUUGGGACUGAGAUACGGCCCAGACUCCUACGGGAGGCAGCAGUGGGGAAUAUUGCUCAAUGGGCGGAAGCCUGAUGCAGCAACGCCGCGUGCGGGAUGACGGCCUUCGGGUUGUAAACCGCUUUCGCCUGUGACGAAGCGUGAGUGACGGUAAUGGGUAAAGAAGCACCGGCUAACUACGUG